rnacentral:snRNA from 1 species
AUGCUUUAUUCAGCAGUACUUUUACUACUAUUAGACUGAUACAAUAAGAUUAGCAUGGCCCAGCACAGGAUGACACAAAUUUGAGAAAUGGUCCAUAAUCCC